rnacentral:rRNA from 1 species
AUACGUAGGGAGCGAGCGUUGUCCGGAAUUACUGGGUGUAAAGGGAGCGUAGGCGGGAGUGCAAGUCAGAUGUGAAAUACAUGGGCUCAACCCAUGGGCUGCAUUUGAAACUGCAUUUCUUGAGUGAAGUAGAGGUAAGCGGAAUUCCUGGUGUAGCGGUGAAAUGCGUAGAGAUUGGGAGGAACACCAGUGGCGAAGGCGACUUACUGGACUGUAAUUGACGCUGAGGCGCGAAAGUGUGGGGAGCAAACAGGAUAGAUACCCUGGUAGUCCACACUGUAAACGAUGAAUGCUAGGUGUAGGGGGUAUCGACCCCUUCUGUGCCGCAGUCAACACAAUAAGCAUUCCGCCUGGGGAGUACGGCCGCAAGGUUGAAACUUAAAGGAAUUGACGGGG